GGAAUAUUGGCAAACCUAUAUAAUCCAAAUUAUGUAAUAUUUAUCAAACCUAGAGCAAAGUGCUAGAUUUGGAAACACUACCUACCAUAUUAACAUGGAUGCACAAAUUAAGGACCACAUACAGGCCUGGCUUUUUAAAUAAAUCCAUUCAUAUAGGUCUUACCCACCUGUGUUCAAUCAGAGCUAUCCAGACAGUGAGGCCUAUGUGAG